rnacentral:rRNA from 1 species
ACUCCUACGGGAGGCAGCAGUGGGGAAUAUUGCACAAUGGGCGCAAGCCUGAUGCAGCCAUGCCGCGUGUGUGAAGAAGGCCUUCGGGUUGUAAAGCACUUUCAGUCGUGAGGAAGGUGGGUAAGUGUUAAUAGCACUAUCAUUUGACGUUAGCGACAGAAGAAGCACCGGCUAACUCCGUGCCAGCAGCCGCGGUAAUACGGAGGGUGCGAGCGUUAAUCGGAAUUACUGGGCGUAAAGCGCAUGCAGGUGGUUUGUUAAGUCAGAUGUGAAAGCCCGGGGCUCAACCUCGGAAUUGCAUUUGAAACUGGCAGACUAGAGUACUGUAGAGGGGGGUAGAAUUUCAGGUGUAGCGGUGAAAUGCGUAGAGAUCUGAAGGAAUACCGGUGGCGAAGGCGGCCCCCUGGACAGAUACUGACACUCAGAUGCGAAAGCGUGGGGAGCAAACAGGAUUAGAUACCCUGGUAGCUACGAGU